UACGUAGGGUGCAAGCGUUAAUCGGAAUUACUGGGCGUAAAGCGUGCGCAGGCGGUUAUGCAAGACAGAUGUGAAAUCCCCGGGCUCAACCUGGGAACUGCAUUUGUGACUGCAUGACUAGAGUACGGCAGAGGGGGGGAUGGAAUUCCGCGUGUAGCAGUGAAAUGCGUAGAUAUGCGGAGGAACACCGAUGGCGAAGGCAAUCCCCUGGGCCUGUACUGACGCUCAUGCACGAAAGCGUGGGGAGCAAACAGG
rnacentral:rRNA from 1 species